CUGAGCAAUGGCACCUCGCUUCCUGUCCUGGAGGGUCAGUCCCUGGGCCUGGUCUGUGUGACUGACAGCAACUCCCCCGCCUCACUGAGCUGGUCUCAGGAGGGAAGAACACUGAAUCUCUCCCAGCUCUCAGCAACUGGGAUCCUGGAGCUGCCCCAGAAAGGGACUGGAGGUGAAGGCGACCUCACCUGUGAGGCUCAGCACCCACUGGGCUCCCAGCACAUUUCCCUGAGCCUCUCUGUGCAGAGGGAGCUGCUGGACGGAUGUGCGAGUGAAGAUCAGGAGGGCUCCCAGCCCCUGGUUCUCACCUAAUCAAGGGGCGCUCAUGGGCACUGGUUUUUCCUUCACCCGUGGCCUCACCUGGGGCUACUACUCCAGGUGUGGAGGCCCCCAGGGGAGCAGGGCUGAGAGGCCUGACUGA
rnacentral:lncRNA from 1 species